rnacentral:rRNA from 1 species
GACGAACGCUGGCGGCGUGCCUAAUACAUGCAAGUUGAGCGCUGAAGGAUGGUACUUGUGCCAACUGGAUGAGCAGCGAACGGGUGAGUAACGCGUGGGGAAUCUGCCUUUUAGCGGGGGACAACAUUGGGAAACGAAUGCUAAUACCGCAUAAAAACUUUAAACACAAGUUUUAAGUUUGAAAGAUGCAAUUGCAUCACUCAAAGAUGAUCCCGCGUUGUAUUAGCUAGUUGGUGAGGUAAAGGCUCACCAAGGCGAUGAUACAUAGCCGACCUGAGAGGGUGGUCGGCCACAUUGGGACGGAGACACGGCCCAAGAUCCUAAGGGAGGCAGCAGUAGGGAAUCUUCGGCAAUGGACGAAAGUCUGAACGAGCAACGCCGCGUGAGUGAAGGAGGGUUUCGGAUCGUAAAACUCUGUUGGUAGAGAAGAACGUUGGUGAGAGUGGAAAGCUCAUCAAGUGACGGUAACUAACCAGAAAGGGACGGCUAACUACGUG